rnacentral:rRNA from 1 species
UGGGGAAUAUUGGACAAUGGGCGAAAGCCUGAUCCAGCCAUGCCGCGUGUGUGAAGAAGGUCUUCGGAUUGUAAAGCACUUUAAGUUGGGAGGAAGGGCAUUAACCUAAUACGUUAGUGUUUUGACGUUACCGACAGAAUAAGCACCGGCUAACUCUGUGCCAGCAGCCGCGGUAAUACAGAGGGUGCAAGCGUUAAUCGGAAUUACUGGGCGUAAAGCGCGCGUAGGUGGUUUGUUAAGUUGGAUGUGAAAGCCCCGGGCUCAACCUGGGAACUGCAUCCAAAACUGGCAAGCUAGAGUACGGUAGGGGGUGGUGGAAUUUCCUGUGUAGCGGUGAAAUGCGUAGAUAUAGGAAGGAACACCAGUGGCGAAGGCGACCACCUGGACUGAUACUGACACUGAGGUGCGAAAGCGUGGGGAGCAAACA